GGUGGUUCUCGGGUGAUGCACCCUAGAAUCGGGCUCCCUCGUCUCUGGUCCCAGGGUGGGUCACCCAAGAACUGCU
rfam:Myotis davidii contig226657, whole genome shotgun sequence.